GACGAACGCUGGCGGCGUGCUUAACACAUGCAAGUCGAACGGAAAGGCCCUGCUUUUGUGGGGUGCUCGAGUGGCGAACGGGUGAGUAACACGUGAGUAACCUGCCCUUGACUUUGGGAUAACUUCAGGAAACUGGGGCUAAUACCUGAUAGGAGCUCCUGCUGCAUGGGGGGGGUUGGAAAGUUUCGGCGGUUGGGGGUGGACGCGCGGCUUGUCAGCUUGUUGGUGGGGGAGUGGCUUACCAAGGGUUUGACGGGUAGCCUGCCUGGGAGGGUGACCGGCCACAUUGGGACUACGGUACGGCCCAGACUCCUACGGGAGGCAGCGGGGGGAAAUCUUGCCCAAUGGGCGGAAGCCUGAUGCAGCAACGCCGCGUGCGGGAUGACGGCCUUCGGGUUGUAAACCGCUUUCGCCUGUGACGAAGCGUGAGUGACGGUAAUGGGUAAAGAAGCACCGGCUAACUACGUG
rnacentral:rRNA from 1 species